UAAAACUAGACAUGCCUUUUGAACUAUUAUCAUUUUAAAUAUAAUUAGCUCUGUACGUAUUCACACUUGAAUAGGCUGAUUUUAUGCUACACCCAUAUAAACAUAAGACCUGAGAGCCACUUAGUGGAAUAUAUUCCCAUUCCCCUCCCCACCAUUUUCCAGGUCUGGUCUCUGCAAUACAGAACAUGCAUGGUCAUUCACACUGCUGCCUUUUGCUUUUUCAAAAUAACAGGGCAGGGUGGGGGUAGAGAAGGAAGAAGACUUUAUUCUGUGCUAUCUGCCAUUUCAGAAAUGCUCAUUAGGCAACCCCACGUGAUCAGUGUCUUUCUGUAUUCUUCCAUAUAUUGCCCCGCAGCUGGUCAAAACCCUGGUAGUACUUAUGGAGCUGUAGCUGGUAUUAUGGCAAAAUAUAAGCCUUGCAGCUCAUGUAGUCAUGUAGUCACACAACAGGACAGUGAUGCCAUUAGCCAGGUUUAUCUGUGACAAACAUUUUACUGUGUAUAAAUACCAAGAUAGGAAGGGUGCUUUAUAAAAACUGCAGUGUUUUGACUCCAUUUGGUUAUAAAACAUAUUGUUUGGCAUUACUGGGAAGAUUUAGACAGCAUUUUAUUCUACUAAUAUGGGACCUUGUUCUAUCAUAAUUUUGUUUUGCUUUGCUUUUUCCUGUAUGUGACAAUAUCCAACUUUAGACAGUAAUUAGACCUCUUUAUAUUUAUCUUUUUAAAAAAACAUAUAUGUUGGAGAUGCUUGUCCUCUUUCCACAAUCACCCCUAUAUUUCAGCCUUCAAUGAAAUUACUGUACAGCUCACAGCAGAGAGAUCCCAGUAUAUACAGGGAAUUCCAUAAGUACCAUGUGAACAUGUUGGGGGGGGGGGAAUAAAGCCAGUUGUGAUAAAGAGGUAUACUUGGAGGAGGAAAAGGCUAAUCUAUGCAGGCAUCAAUCGGUGUAGGGCACUGAAGAAGAAUAUCCUCUAAAACAAUUCAGAUUUCAGAUUGUUAGGAUAGGUUGGUGGUGGCGGCAGCAACAGUGCAGGUCCAAUUCCUAUAGGAAGGGGGGAAAGCAGGCAUCGCCCUACUGAAUUGUCAAAAUGUCUUAUCUUUUAUUACCUGGAGCAUGAUCUAGCCAUUUGAGUGCAUUUAUUAAUCUGAACAGUAAAUAUCCUGUUGUAAGAUUCCCCGUUUCCCAUAUAAACAAGGGAGGGCUUAAUCUCUGCACUUUUACACCAGGGAAAAAGUGUAUCCCAAAUGCGUGGCUAAAUAAUUCAUAGGAUGAUGUUCCCUUCCUCCGCCCCUUCCUUUUUAACCUUUUCGAAAUUAGGAGGUGAUAACUGCAAGCCCAAAUACUACACAGAAGGCAUUUCCACCGCACGAGGAUGGAACAUUAAUUAUUCCCUCCAGUUCCACUCCGGGCAUCCCGGUUCGCUUCUAGCUACGUAGGAAGUUUGAGAAAGCACCCCAAGUGCCCCUUUUCCCGGCUCCUCGCUUUUUUAGGGCCACCUCUACAAAUGGAAGGGGGGCUAGUCUCUCCCCCUCCCGCCGCAUGUUUACCUGUGUUGCAUUUCUAAGGUGGGAGGGGUAGAGGCAGGUGAGAGUGGCGCGUCUUUGUGGAGCGGGGUGCGGGGGGGGGAGGUCUUGCGCGACAGAAUAGCUAUAGCCAAGCAGAGAGAAGUCCGUUGCUUGCAGCCAGCCCAGUUGCCACCCGAGCUGGCUUGGUUGCACACGCGCGCCACGGCGCAAUCCUCGCGGAGGCGGCUCGCAGCGCAACCCCGGAAAGGGAGUCAGAAGUAAAGCCGUUUAAAAAGCGCGAGAGAGGCAGGCAGGCAGGCAGGCGAGCGGGCGAAGGCUCUGUGCGGUGACACCGGACUCGCUGCGUAAUGCAGCGCCAAUUCCCAAUCCCUGAAAUGCAGGCCCAAGGACAGCCUCGUUCAGUCACACAUCUCCGUGCACAGCACAUGCCGAGUCUGUCAGAGGAGAAAUGCAGGCAAAGGCUCUUCUCUUCUUUCUCUGCCCCCCCUCCACCUCCCCCCCCCCGGCUGACAUGCUUGUGUGCAUCCUGGGCGAGUGAGCGAGCGAGAGAAAAUCCUUCCAAUUCUUUUGGACGUUAGAGCGAUCUGCGUUAGCAACCAGGAAGACGGGGGGCAGCAGCAGCGGCAAGCCAGCAAGACUGCAGCUUCUCAUGCCCAGCUCUGGGAAUCCGGAGAAACCGUGGAUCUGCCAGGUUGCUUUCCCCCCCCACCCCCAGCCCUCCCCAACCAAACCCGCAAGAUAUUUGCUGCCACCAUUUGGUUAAAAUAAGAAUGUUUAGGGCGCUGUGAUGCAUAGUCCCAAAAAAAAAAAAAAAAAGGAGCAGGAGACAGAGCUGAAUCGUCGCACCCACCGCACCGGCACCAUCAACUUGCCAAUCCUGCUGAAAUGGGAUUCCCUUCUCCUCCCCAUCUUUUGCCUUUCUCUGCGCUGGAAAUAUCGCCGAUGGCAUUACAUCUUUAUAAGAGGUUAAAGACCCUUUCCUGAGAAUGAAGCAAUUUACAAUGCAAAUAGAGGCCUGUGGAGGGAUGGAUGCUUCACACUCUUAACAGCUUGAUGCACCUUAAUAGCUGGUUUUAUUUUCUGAUAUUAACAGAUGAAUAGUUGGUCCAUUGCUGCAGGAAAUUACUGGAUUGAAAGGAAAGAAAAAGAGAGAGCGUGUGCAGGAGAGAGAGAAAAGGGAAAGGAGAAAGAAAGAAAGAAAGUUUGGAGUAAACUUUGAAGGCAAUAAUAUCUUCUGGAUGCAUCUUAGGAGCACGCAUAACUCCAACAGACUGUAGCUGGUCAUGGUGGCUUUGAAAGGAUGAGCAUUUUGAGACACAAGGUUUACUUGGAAAAAUCUAUUUGUGGAAACAGUCUGGAUUCUAAUGAGGAGGGGCUGAAAGCCCUGCAAACCAUAUGAGGGAAGCGAGUUGUUAUCUUUGGUUAUCUAGCUGUAUGAGUGUGUUGGUCUUCAUAAAGCUAGAUAACCGAAAGUAAAAACUCCUUCAUGAUCUUCCUGCUGCUCAAGAAGCAAGAAAGGGACAAUAAAAACCCAGCUCUAACAAGGCUGCUAACUCAAGGGCACGUUUCUGCAGAUCAAGGCAAGAGAGGGAGAAAACGAAUGAAAUGACAUGCCGUGUCAAAGACAUAUGUACAUGUGUAUCAUAGAGACAUAUCUGUAGGAGAUACCAGGGCACAAGAUGGUGAAGAAUAAACCAUAUGCUGCAAAGAGGAUAUUGUACUCAUGGUAAACAAAUGCAUGUCCAUGUUUUGCUUUUGUUUUGUUUUGUUUUGUUUUUGCUGUUCUGUGAGGAAGGGGUGGGAAGGAGUGAUGAAAGAUGACCCUGUUUAAAAGUGCAAUUUGUUUCCUUCCUGCUUAAUCCUAUACCUGAAUGCUCAAAAGUAAGUUCCAUGAAGUCAAUGAGACUUGCUUCGAGGUGUUUGUAUGGAUCUGUAACCUUUCAUGCACUUUUAAAAUGUCAAAGAUGUUUUGCAAUAUACGGCUGUGGCCUAGUGUGUGAAUCUGAGAUAAUUUUGAUAAUUUCUGAAUAGACGUGUGUCUGUGUUUCUCUGUGAGAUCUGCUUAACAGUUUUGGAGUCUUGCUCAGAGUAUUGCUAUUUCAAUGGGGAAGCACAAAAAUGUUUUGGAUGGCAUUAGGUGACAUCAAUAUCUAUUGAAGAUUUGGAGAAGUGCCACAAAAUUGGAGAUGUGUGUUUCUGUGUGUCUGUGUUACAGGAGGCUUGGAGGAAGCUUAUAGCUGAUCUGAAAAAAAAAA